UCCUUGUGCUUCCUGGGUGAGGCAACACCCCAUCUUGCUUCAGCUCGCCCUCCUUAGGCUGCACCCACUGUCUAAUCAGUCCAAAUGAGAUGAACCAUGUACCUCAGCUGAAAUGUGGAAAUCACCCACCUUCUGCAUCAGUCUCUCUGGGAGCCGCACAAUGGGGCUGUUCCUAUUUGGCCAUCUUGCCCAGGGACCUGACAAUUAUCAUUUAGUACCAUUUAGCACAAUAACUAUCCUACUUUCAAAAAGUAACAGGAUAAAUCUGUCCUUUUUACAUCCUCUUCCAUCUAUGCUAUUCCUUUGAAAAGAAAUGACUUAAGUAAUUUUUAAAAAGAUUUCAUUACUUAUGGUUUUAAUAUGCUAAAGACAGCAGUUAGAGUCUGAACAUUUUAAGUUAAUAAAAUAUUAAGGAAGAAAUAUUGUUUGCAAAAUAAAGACAUUAUAGCCUUAAGUGAAAACAUAUUUAAUUAUUCACUGCAUUUAGGUUUAAAUAAGCUCCCGAUGGCCCAUUUUUUGGUUUCAUUCUUGGGGAAAAAAGUCUUCUGAAAGUUCUUUAUGUUAGUGGAAUAUUCUGCUUAAUAUUUCAUUUACAUUUGUCCUGAUUCUAUUGUUUUGCUCUUCUAUACCACCUAUGGUGACGAAAGCCCAUUCUUUUUAAUUCACAUUUCUAUUCUGUUUUAUAGGUUAUUUAAUACUGCAUAAUAAGGCAAUUAGGCCACAACCCAGUGCACUCUAAGUGUCAUGGGAAUGAUCCAAAAAAGACAAAAUAAACUUAAUGUAACAUAAAAAUGACUAGGCAGCAUAUUAAAAAAUCAGAUUUCUGAUAAACACUUUAGUGCCAUUAGAAUCCACUGAAAAUAGCCCAGCAAACUUAAUAUCCUCAGUGUCUUUCACACUGUGUGAUUUUACCAGACUAGUCACAAAUGCAUUUUAAAAUAUUUUUUAUAAGAUGGAACCUCAAGUUUACCUGCAUGUCCUAUUAGCUGUUUGUGUUGCACAGCCACUUGAAUUUAGUCAAUUCUGCCUAUACACAAAGACAGACAAUGUUUGACCAAAACACAGGAAUGUCCUAGUGAAUUAGAAAAAAAAGAAGAAAAACUGAAGAUUCCUCCCAAUGCUUUUGCCUUCAUUUAAGCUUGCUUCUUGUUAUUCAAUCAGCCCGCUGAGUAGAUGCUAUGUCUUUUUAGGUCUCCUCAUUAUUCAAGCAUUCAGCAUAUUUUUUAAAAAGUGUGUCUCUUAUGCUAUAAUGUCUUGAUGUGUCCUCUACUAAGUUUUGGAAAUUGUUUUAAUAAGGACAUGGUACAUUAUGCUAACAUAACAAAUUGACCUCCAAAUCUCAGUGGAUUAACACAACAAAGCAUAUUUUUCUCAACCUACAUAUCUUAAAUUGGUCAGGCCAAUUGAGAUCUCUGCUCCACAAUGCUACUUGGGCUUUUAGAGGUUCCACCAUAAUGGUGGCAUCAGCAUAAUGUGACACUGCCAUUUCCCAAAAAUAAAACUGGCUACUGAGUAUGCUGUGUCAACAAAGGUAAAACAUGAACUUCCGUGCUCAUUUUCACUUCUAUUUAUUUGUCAUCGGAGUCUAGGAAACUCAGGAAGAGGAAAAGAAGUGGUAAGCAGCAUGUACUGUGUUUCCAUCAGAAGAAGUUAUUUCUAGGAGGCAGUACUGUGAACUAAAAAGGUCUCUAAACUUUGAGGCAAGAUAUCUGAUUUUGGACAAGUCACUUGGCUUUUCUGAGUCUGAAUAUGCAAAAUGAGAAUUUUUUUUUUUAAUUGAGGUUGCUAAAUUUUCCAUUCAGUAGCUGGAAAAGUGAAUUUCCUGUAGAAUGACAGGAAUUACAUAGAGGCAAGCAAUUUUAUUUUCCUUAAAUGUAGCAUUAAUUUUAAUGUGUACAUAUAUAAACAGUACAAUUUUAAAAUCUUGAAGGUAACAUGCAUAUUUUAAGGUGCAGGUGGGACAGGGGAGGAUUUUAGGCAUCUCUGAUUUUCCUUACAACUUUUUCUUUUCCAGUUCCUUCUGCAAAAGCACUGAGUCAGGAAACUUUAUCUGGAAAGCUGAAGUUAAAGGUGAGCUUCCUAAAGUCUGUACUUCUACAUAUCACAAACAAAAUGGCAACAACUUUCUAGAGCAGUUUGGUAGACACUAAAGUCAUAUGGCUGAGCCUUCAAGCUCAAAAUGAAAUCAGGAAUUCAUUUUCUAAAAUACUAAAGGAGAUCAUGUUUGCAACUGUGUCCUAUUUAUGUUUCAUAGUUGCUACCCAUGUGAUAACUUCCACCAGUCUUUUUAUUUGGUAUAGUUUCUGAAUAUAUGCUGUUUAAUGGAGUUACAUGUAAUUAAGGUGUGGUGAGAUGCAGAAGGAAGGACUGAGAAAAUCACUUUUCCUUGAAGUCUGAGUCCAUGCUCCUCUUCCAGUAUUCUUAUGACCUUUUCUCUGCCAUUGAGGCAGACACAGCUGAUGCAGAAUGUCAGAUCUUUCAUCAUUCAAAGGCCUGGGGAUGCAGACCAAGGUUGCUUUCUGGUUUGGGUUAUUAUUAGCAUAAGAGCAGUGAAGAUAUGCAAGAAUUUCUCUAAAGUAUCUUCCUAGAAGUGGAAUGGCUGGGUAACAAGUUUUCCUUCUAACAGUGCAAUCCCUCUGCUGUAGGACUGCUGGAGGUCCACUUUAGACUCUGGUUGCCUGGGAAUCACUGGCGGGGGUUGCAGAUCAGGAAGCAUUGCUGCCUGAUCUUCCCUCUG